UGCAGUCGAGCGGACAGAUGGGAGCUUGCUCCCUGAUGUUAGCGGCGGACGGGUGAGUAACACGUGGGUAACCUGCCUGUAAGACUGGGAUAACUCCGGGAAACCGGGGCUAAUACCGGAUGCUUGUUUGAACCGCAUGGUUCAAACAUAAAAGGUGGCUUCGGCUACCACUUACAGAUGGACCCGCGGCGCAUUAGCUAGUUGGUGAGGUAAUGGCUCACCAAGGCGACGAUGCGUAGCCGACCUGAGAGGGUGAUCGGCCACACUGGGACUGAGACACGGCCCAGACUCCUACGGGAGGCAGCAGUAGGGAAUCUUCCGCAAUGGACGAAAGUCUGACGGAGCAACGCCGCGUGAGUGAUGAAGGUUUUCGGAUCGUAAAGCUCUGUUGUUAGGGAAGAACAAGUACCGUUCGAAUAGGGCGGUACCUUGACGGUACCUAACCAGAAAGCCACGGCUAACUACGUGCCAGCAGCCGCGGUAAUACGUAGGUGGCAAGCGUUGUCCGGAAUUAUUGGGCGUAAAGGGCUCGCAGGCGGUUUCUUAAGUCUGAUGUGAAAGCCCCCGGCUCAACCGGGGAGGGUCAUUGGAAACUGGGGAACUUGAGUGCAGAAGAGGAGAGUGGAAUUCCACGUGUAGCGGUGAAAUGCGUAGAGAUGUGGAGGAACACCAGUGGCGAAGGCGACUCUCUGGUCUGUAACUGACGCUGAGGAGCGAAAGCGUGGGGAGCGAACAGGAUUAGAUACCCUGGUAGUCCACGCCGUAAACGAUGAGUGCUAAGUGUUAGGG
rnacentral:rRNA from 1 species